CCUACGGGUGGCAGCAGUAGGGAAUAUUGCGCAAUGGGCGAAACCCUGAAGCAGCAACGCCGCGUGAAGGAUGAAGGUUUUCGGAUUGUAAACUCCUUUUGUUAGAGAAGAUAAUGACGGUAUCCAACGAAUAAGCACCGGCUAACUCCGUGCCAGCAGCCGCGGUAAUACGGAGGGUGCAAGCGUUACUCGGAAUCACUGGGCGUAAAGAGCGCGUAGGCGGGAUAGCAAGUCAGAUGUGAAAUCCUAUGGCUUAACCAGAGAACUGCAUUUGAUACUGUUAUUCUAGAGUAUGGGAGAGGUAGGUGGAAUUCUUGGUGUAGGGGUAAAAUGCGUAGAGAUCAAGAGGAAUACUCAUUGCGAAGGCGACCUGCUAGAACAUAACUGACGCUGAUGCGCGAAAGCGUGGGGAGCAAACAGGAUUAGAUACCCCUGUAGUC
rnacentral:rRNA from 1 species